GAUGAACGCUGGCGGCGUGCCUAAUACAUGCAAGUCGAGCGAACGGACAAGGAGCUUGCUUCUCUGAUGUUAGCGGCGGACGGGUGAGUAACACGUGGAUAACCUACCUAUAAGACUGGGAUAACUUCGGGAAACCGUAGCUAAUACCGGAUAAUAUUUUGAACCGCAUGGUUCAAAAGUGAAAGACGGUCUUGCUGUCACUUAUAGAUGGAUCCGCGCUGCAUUAGCUAGUUGGUAAGGUAACGGCUUACCAAGGCAACGAUGCAUAGCCGACCUGAGAGGGUGAUCGGCCACACUGGAACUGAGACACGGUCCAGACUCCUACGGGAGGCAGCAGUAGGGAAUCUUCCGCAAUGGGCGAAAGCCUGACGGAGCAACGCCGCGUGAGUGAUGAAGGUCUUCGGAUCGUAAAACUCUGUUAUUAGGGAAGAACAUAUGUGUAAGUAACUGUGCACAUCUUGACGGUACCUAAUCAGAAAGCCACGGCUAACUACGUG
rnacentral:rRNA from 1 species